rnacentral:tRNA from 1 species
GGGGCUGUAGAUCAGUGGUAAAGUGCUUACUUAGCAUAAGUGGGGCCCUGGGUUCCAUUCCCAGCUCCA